rnacentral:lncRNA from 1 species
AAUAUGGAGCAAGUAGCAUGCCAAAGAAUUGCCAAUGCCAGACUUCAGGAUCUGAUAAAAGACUUUGCAAUUGUGAAAUUGUUUGUGGAAAAUAAUUAUAUUAUCUGCAUCAGCCAAAGCACUAGAUUUCAUAGAUGUUUAGUUUUAAAAGCUUUGGAAGUUAUUGUAAUAAUAAUGACAUUAAUAAUGGUCACAGCUGAGAAGAUUGUUGUCAAUUCUUAAUAAAUCAGUUAUCUAUCUAUGAACAAUUGUUGUUAUUUAUUUAUUUUUAUUUCUUUUCUUUUCUUUUCAUUUAUGCUUGCUAUUUUUUUUUCAUUGUUGAAUUUUUCAAAACGUUAAUGCUCCGUAAAUUUUCAAAAAAUAACUUAAUUAUCUUUAAAAAUAUUUUUCAAAUAACUCAUUUUUCAUUAUUUGGUUGCAAUGAAACUUGAGAAAUAUUUUUAUGAAAAUAUAAUUAAUAAAUUUUAAAUGUAUUUUACUCAUUAUUCUAAAGAAUUUACUGUUAAGAAAAGAGAGAAACUUUUAGCACCAAUGAUUAUUAAUUUAUCACAAUUAUUAUUGAAAGAUAUUCAUAGUUGUUUAUAUUUAAUUGUUCCUUCCUUUUACAUUAUAUUAAUUUUAGAGUUUAAAUUUUAAAAUAAAAAAUUAACAUUGCUAGAUAGUUAAUGUUGAACUAUAUAUAUUUUUAAAUAAAUACAAAAGUAAUUAGUUAAUAAUGUGAAUUUAUAAAUAUUUUUUCUUGCACAAUAUCAUCAUUUAUAUCAAGGAAGCAAUACGGGCACUUCAGUGGAAAUACCAAAUCAUCAAAGUUUUGUCUUAUAAAAAACUUUAAACAGCAAGACAAUUAGAACAUUGGACAAGACAAAAGUUAUAUAAGUUAGCACAAUGAGCCUACGUUAUGGACUCAAGUCCGUACAGAUUUGUUCCUGAGUUAAAACCAAUUCGUAGCCCAAAAACUCUCUUAUUAAUUUAAAGUUAGCCAUUUUUUAUGUAUAUCACUUUUAACUUGUACUUAGCCGAUGAGGGAUUCGCCUAGGGUGUCACAAAAUUAUAUAUAAAUACAUAAAAUUAAAAUUAUAAAUAAACAAAGUAAAUAAUGAACAAGUACAAUGACUAAAUAUAUAAAAAAGAUAUUUUAAUAUGAUGAUAAAAGACUAGUAUUUACAUUCAAAUAAGAAUUACACAGACAAAAAACAACAAAAAUAAUAUAAAAAAGUUAAAUUAUAUAUAAUAAUAAUAAUAAUAAUGUGUAAUGCAUAUUUUUUAUUACUUCUAAUAUUAAAUUGGAAUAUAUAGCCAAAUAUAAACCAAUUCAUAAAUGUUGAGGUUACCUUAAUUAAUCCUUAUAUAUGGAUUUGGUAUGACAAACUUGAUUAUGAUAUUAAAUUGGAAGAUUCAUAAUUAUCCAUGUCAUUUUUUCUAAGGUUCUCUUUAAAUUAGGCAGAAAUUUCCAUAUAGGAAAUAUAAAAAUCUCCAAGUUACUUAAUUUGGUUCUAACAGUUGUUUAUGCACAUAAUAAAAAAUAUCCAUAUUAGUCAUUUAGGUGCCUAUAAAUUUGGAGUUCAUACUCAAGCAAUGUAUACAUUUUAUCAUUGAAACAACUCAAAAUUAGAAGCAAACAUUAUGAAGUCAACAACCAUUCUCUUUGCUUUUUGUGUGAUGCUAUUAACUUCAUCAAUAUGUAUUCAAGGUAAGUUUGUCAUAUUUGUCGUUACCACGAAGCAUAUAGGAAAAAAAAAAAUUCUAGCCAAUUAGAUGUGGUGUGGUCUGAUUGGUCUUUUCACUCAUAUGAAAAGUAAGAGAUCUCGAAUUUGAGUUCUCUCGAACAGUUUAGAGGAAAGCUAUCCAUAAUUGUCUAGUCCGCGGUAUUAUUUCGGUCGAUCGGGCCUCGUAAUAAAUAAAAAAAAAUUUAUAAAUAAUAAUAAUAAAAGAGAUAAUUUUAUGUUUGUUUUUGUUUGACAUGCAGGGGAUACGACUUGGUGCCCCAAGCAAGAUAUAUUUCCAGGAGGGCCUUGUGGAGCAAAUGGAAGCUCCCAAUGUUUGACUGACUUCUUGGGAAAAUAUGGAGCAAGUAGCAUGCCAAAGAAUUGCCAAUGCCAGACUUCAGGAUCUGAUAAAAGACUUUGCAAUUGUGAAAUUGUUUGUGGAAAAUAAUUCUAUUAUCUGCAUCAGCCAAAGCACUAGAUUUCAUAGAUGUUUAUUUAUAAAAGCUUUGGAUGUUAUUGUAAUAAUAAUGACAUUAAUAAUGAUCACAGCUGAG